rnacentral:rRNA from 1 species
AUUGAACGCUGGCGGCAUGCUUUACACAUGCAAGUCGAACGGUAACAGGUUAAGCUGACGAGUGCGAACGGGUGAGUAAUGCAUCGGAACGUGCCCGAUCGUGGGGGCUAACGCAGCGAAAGCUGCGCUAAUACCGCAUACGCUCUGAGGAUGAAAGCGGGGGACCGUAAGGCCUCGCGCGAUCGGAGCGGCCGAUGGCAGAUUAGGUAGUUGGUGGGGUAAAGGCCCACCAAGCCGACGAUCUGUAGCUGGUCUGAGGGGACGACCAGCCACACUGGGACUGAGACACGGGCCAGACUCCUACGGGAGGCAGCAGUGGGGAAUGUUGGACAAUGGGCGAAAGCCUGAUCCAGCAAUGCCGCGUGAAGGAAGAAGGCCUUCGGGUUGUAAACUGCUUUUGUACGGAGCGAAAAGGUCCUUUCUAAUACAAGGGGCUCAUGACGGUACCGUAAGAAUAAGCACCGGCUAACUACGUGCCAGCCGCCGCCGUAACAC